UUUCUCCUGGUGCCACUUUAUCACAGCCCGGUAUGGGGGACUGGCGAAAUCUGGCUCAAAUCAGCAGAAAGAUCACACAUGAUUGUUACUGGCAGGAUCAGAGAGCACGUCUUUUCAGUCCCACUCGUUGCUUGUGGAGACGUGAACAACGUGAUCAUCCUCAUGUUUCCUGUGUCAUACAUUUAUUUUUACACUGACGGAUCGAGAGAAGUUUUGAUCCCACAACCUCCGUCUUUCCAAAGAUGCUUGUUAAGCUGCUGAGAUAUCAGGACUCUCUGAGCUACAGCAGCUCUCACACAGAGAAUAAUCACAUCAGCUGAUCAGAGUUCAUCACAGUCGGACAUGUGAACAUCUCCAUUGUCUCUCCACGUCGUCCACAGCAGUUUGCUCUGUGGGUUGAGCGUCUAAACACGUCGCACGGUUCAGCCCAGAGGACCGUUGUCGGCGUGGAUACUCAGUUUCCCAGCAUGCCUCUCCUCCACGCUGUGCUCAGCUAACUGCUGACCCCUGCAGGUCAGGAUCUGUUACUGCGGCAGAGACCAGAGGUCGGAGCGAAGGAAAACGAGUUGAGCCUCCUCAUCGCUGUCAAGAGCUCACGGCGUGAAAAGACUGAAUCAUCUCAACUCAAAGGUCCACUUACUGGCUUCGGGAGCCUCAGAGGAAGAGUGUGAGAUGCUCGGAAAAUAAUUCAACCACAAGUUUCUAACGUGAUUUCUUCAAUGUCACCUCAAGGAUCCCAGUGAGGACUUAAAGCAGUUUUGACCACCUGUGGCACCGGUCGGUGUUUUCACGGGUGAGUUCCUGUUCUGGUUGAACUAUGACAAUGUUCUGGUGCAGGUGACGUGACUCAAAGUCACUGCCAGUGGUUUCACACUACUCCACUGAUCCACAGCUGGAGGUAACGUGUCAAGAACCACAGCAAUCCCCCUGAAAAAGUCACGAAGAAGAAGAAAGCCAGCACCUACACAAACAGUGAAGGUCUUUGUGGAAAGGUUUUACGAGGAAGGAAACACACUCAACACGUUAGUUGUUGUUAGAGAGCUUCAUAACCAGACAACAGAUGAAACACAGAAAGAAGACGACGUCACGACUGAGCAAUCAGACAUUCACCAAUCAAUAAUCAAUAACAUCUCAACUGUAAAAUCAUUCUCGAUGUGGCGACAGAAAGUAACAGCACAGAACCUUGUCCAGAAUUUAAAGGACCACAAAACAGUUUUUUUCCCUCUGGACUGAAUCCAAUGUUUUGUCCUUCAACCACAGUCUCUCAGAUGGUUCAACAGAACAAGGCUUCAGGUUUUAGACUGAUUUCCUCUCCAGUCAACUCUCAGGUGUCAGAGUGUCUUUGAAUGCAUCAACAGGGAGAUUGUUCAAACAGAUUCUGCUCUUUAAAAUAAAGUAUAUUUUAAAGCACUUUGAGCUGCAUCUUGAGCAUUAAAGGAGUUUUUUCUUAAUAACAUUUAUCAAU